rnacentral:rRNA from 1 species
UACAGAGGUCUCAAGCGUUGUUCGGAUUCAUUGGGCGUAAAGGGUGCGUAGGCGGUGCGGAAAGUCGGGUGUGAAAUCCCCCAGCUCAACUGGGGAAUUGCGCCUGAAACUGCCGUGCUCGAGGAAGACAGAGGUACGCGGAACUUAGGGUGGAGCGGUGAAAUGCGUUGAUAUCCUAAGGAACACCGGUGGCGAAAGCGGCGUACUGGGUCUUAUCUGACGCUGAGGCACGAAAGCUAGGGUAGCGAACGGG